rnacentral:lncRNA from 1 species
AGUAGUUACAUUUGUUAGAUUUAGGCUUUAAAGUAAGGUUAUGAGGGGUUAGCCCAAAAUAUAGAUACGCUAAGGUGAUAAAGAUUUCCUUGAAGAAAUUGUUUGUAAUGCUUGUGUUCUGGAGUAGCUAACUAGAACCCUGAACUUAGGAUAAUUAGGCGCAACGACAUGGUCUUUUACCUGAAUUAAUUUCCUUGAGCUAGGAUUGCUAGAAACAAGCGACAACUGAUUUAGUUAAUACAAGUGAACCUAUCGAACAGUUCGCUAAAGUUUGCCUAGAUAAGCAUCGAUCGACGUUAAUCUUAUAGCAUCGAUCAAUGUUGAA